AUGCCGGCGUACCAGAGGAGAUCGAGCUUGCUGAGGAGUGCUCGUUGCCGAUCUGUCUCCUGCCCGCGCAAGGCAGCACGUACUCGCGAUGGGUGCCUCGCCAAGCAGCCGAAAGCGACGGUUCGAGUGACGCGCAUCGAGUUCGACCCGAGCGAUCUCACCGAUGGUAGCGACGACCUCGACGUGUCCGUGAAGAAGCUGACUCGGUCGGAAGCCAGCAACGACGCGUUCCCAGCGGUGCCGCCGUGCGGGGGAUGGGUAGUGCUCUGGUUGGGCCGGGCAGGCGACAAGAACCUCUACUUCGUCGACGCAGCGCCCGGGGAAGAGAUGGUAUGGAGGGUCACGGAAGGCCAGUGGAUCGACACGAUGCCGAGCUGGUCGCCGGACGGGAAGUUGAUCGCACUCUCCUCCAACUGGCACAAAGCGGACAACACCGCCGUUUUCAACAUCGACUUGGUGCGGCCGGACGGUAGAGGGCUGCGACGAGUACACGUGGUCGGGCCGCCGGGGAGCACGGAGGCGGACAAGGAGCGGAUCAACCACAUGUGCUUCGGUCCAGACGGCGAGUGGCUGCUCUUAACGGCCAACCUCGGCGGCGGUGUGGCCGAGCCCAUCUCGGGGCCGACGGGGAGGGCCUUGAGCUUCUUGACGUCCCAGUAG
rnacentral:rRNA from 1 species